rnacentral:rRNA from 1 species
CAGCAGCCACGGUAAUACAGAGGGUGCGAGCGUUAAUCGGAUUUACUGGGCGUAAAGCGUGCGUAGGCGGCUUCUUAAGUCGGAUGUGAAAUCCCUGAGCUUAACUUAGGAAUUGCAUUCGAUACUGGGAAGCUAGAGUAUGGGAGAGGAUGGUAGAAUUCCAGGUGUAGCGGUGAAAUGCGUAGAGAUCUGGAGGAAUACCGAUGGCGAAGGCAGCCAUCUGGCCUAAUACUGACGCUGAGGUACGAAAGCAUGGGGAGCAAACAGGAUUAGAGACCCCGGUAGUCCCUGUCUCUUAUAC